GUCUACAGCCAUACCACCCUGAAUGUACCCGAUCUCGUCUGGUCUCAGAAGCUAAGCAGGGUCAGGCCUGGUUAGUACUUGGAUGGAAGACAGAUCUUCAGAAGAGACUGCUCAGAGACAAGCAGUUUGGAGACA
rnacentral:rRNA from 1 species